rnacentral:rRNA from 1 species
AGCAGCCGCGGUAAUUCCAGCUCCAAUAGCGUAUAUUAAAGUUGCUGCAGUUAAAAAGCUCGUAGUUGAAUUUCGGGACCAUCACGUCGGUCGUGCCUCGGUACGUACUGGCGUCGUUGGUUUCUCCCUUCUGACGAACCAUGAUGUCAUUAAUUUGGUGUGGCGGGGAAUCAGGACUGUUACUUUGAAAAAAUUAGAGUGUUUAAAGCAGGCUCGCGCUUGAAUACAUUAGCAUGGAAUAAUGAAAUAGGACGUUGAUCCUAUUUUGUUGGUUUCUAGGAUUGACGUAAUGAUUAAUAGGGAUAGUUGGGGGCAUUAGUAUUCAAUUGUCAGAGGUGAAAUUCUUGGAUUUAUUGAAGACUAACUACUGCGAAAGCAUUUGCCAAGGAUGUUUUCAUUAAUCAAGAACGAAAGUUAGGGGAUCGAAGACGAUCAGAUACCGUCGUAGUCUUAACCAUAAACUAUGCCGACUAGGGAUCGGAUGAUGUUAAUUUUUUAAUGACUCAUUCGGCGCCUUACG